ACUUCAUUGCUAUUUGAUUGAUUACUUUUUGAAAUUCAAUUAUUGUUUUGUUGAAUCCUUCAAUACCAAAAGAUUUAAAAAUACGAUCGUUCAUUUACACGCGCAGUUACCCUAGAUAAUUUAGUAUUAAACAAAUGACUAUUCACAAAUAUAUAUCAUUUACAUCAUAGAAGUAAUCGCUCAAACUUAUAUGAAAUCAGAAAUUUCUGAAUUUUUUUUUCCCACCGCCAUAUUCAUAUAUUAAGUUCUAUAUAUAUAUAAAACUCAAUAAGCAAAAAAAUUUAUCUCAAGUGUCAAAGACUAUUAUAAUUUUUAAAAGAUCGUUGAUACAAAAAAUAUAAAUUGAAGAUUUAACAACAGCCAGUUGUUUAAAAUUUUAUUAUCAACAACAAUGAGUUCAAAUUGUUUAAGUGAAGAUGACGGGAAAAAAUAUUAUUAUAAUUCUGUAGCUGGUUUAGCUAAACCUGACCAUAGUACUGUGAUUGGAAUGGAUGAUGAUCUUAAACAAAAACUUGACGAUCAAUUUAGUUAUCCACGACGGAUAAAUUUACUAAAUUCGAAUGUGUACAUCGGAGCACCACCACAAGAGGUUUCAAACUUUUUAACAACUCUCGGUUUCAGACUAUUAAAAACAAAGACAUAAAUUCAUGGAUAGUGCGAUUUUAGCAAAAGAAAUUCAAUGAAUACAAUUUUUUUACAAUGAUCCUAAAAGUUAGCCUACAUUUAAUAAUUUUUUUUUUUUUUAAAUGAUAAAUUUAUAUAAAAAAAAAAAAAAACGAUCCUGAAGGUAGCAGACAAUUACAAAUUUUCGGAUUUUUUUUCAACAAAUAAAUUACAAAAAAAAUAAAAAUAUGCACAUGUAGAAAAUUUAAUAAACUAUAAGUGCCAUUUCUCAAAAUAUUUUUGUUUUUGUUAAUCGUUUUUAAGAAAAUCCAAAAACUGUCUGACGUCUGCUAACUUGAGUAGCAAAAAAAAGAUUUAAGAAAAUUUCACGUAUAGUUUUUUUAAAUUUCUACGUGUGCAUAUUUUUUGUUUAAUUUUUUUUUUAAUCAAUUCGUUGAAAAAGAAAUCCAAAAAUUCUGUAUCGUCUGUUAAGUUCAAUAUCGUAUACUUUUAUCACACCGUUAUACUGUAAUUUUUUCCUUAUACUUUUUGAUAACUUAAUUAUCAAUAAAUAGAGCAGCGACCACGAAUGGUACUUCUACCCUACAUUAAUUGCCAAUUGAUAAAAUUAAAAAAAAAUACUCAGCGGAAGACUUACUUGUCUU